CACGUAGUUAGCCGUGGCUUAUUCAAGGGGUACCGUCUUCCGCUCUUCCCCCUUAAAAGAAGUUUACAACUCGAAAGCCUUCUUCCUUCACGCGGCGUUGCUGGGUCAGACUUGCGUCCAUUGCCCAAUAUUCCCCACUGCUGCCUCCCGUAGGAGUCUGGGCCGUAUCUCAGUCCCAAUGUGGCCGGCCAACCUCUCAGUCCGGCUACUGAUCGUCGCCUUGGUGGGCCGUUACCUCACCAACUAGCUAAUCAGACGCGAGGCCAUCUUCCAGCGAUAAAUCUUUGACGUCGGAGUCAUGCGGCUCCAACGCAUCAUGCGGUAUUAGCAGUCGUUUCCAACUGUGUCCCCCUCUGGAAGGCAGGUUCCUCACGCGUUACUCACCAGUCCGCCACUAAGCAUUCCCAUCCGUUGUCCGAAAACUCUUCAGGGUGCUCCGUUCGACUUGCAUGUGUUAAGCACGCCGCCAGCGUUCGUUCCUGCGCCGACGAGUCAAACCUACU
rnacentral:rRNA from 1 species